rnacentral:rRNA from 1 species
UACGUAGGGUGCAAGCGUUAAUCGGAAUUACUGGGCGUAAAGCGUGCGCAGGCGGUUUUGUAAGUCUGUCGUGAAAUCCCCGGGCUCAACCUGGGAAUUGCGAUGGAGACUGCAAGGCUAGAGUGUGUCAGAGGGGGGUAGAAUUCCACGUGUAGCAGUGAAAUGCGUAGAUAUGUGGAGGAACACCGAUGGCGAAGGCAGCCCCCUGGGAUAACACUGACGCUCAUGCACGAAAGCGUGGGGAGCAAACAGG